AGAAGUUUCAGCUCUCUCCUACUACUAUUCAUCCCUUCCUCCCCCUCCUGUUCCUCACUUCUGUAACUACCAAGCUCGCCACCUUUUCUCUUUCUGUGUGUGCGCGCGCGCUCAUCACUUCAUUCCUCUCGCUCGCUCUCUCAGAUACGACGGCACCACGUAGGAUCACUGUCCCCCCACCCACCCACCCCACAUCUCCCCACACCCUCUCAAAGCCUCCAUCCGUAGCGCAGGAAGUGGCCUCCUGAAGGUCAACGACACACACACACACACUAAAACAAAGAACAGAUAAACAAGCAACACAGAAAAGAGGGUUCAAGUGCACAUAAAAAAGGAAAAGAAAGCGGAAAAGAAAACAAAGGAAUAAAACGCGCGGUAAACCCUCCUCCAUCUGGACCCUUCUCUCUCUUAUUGUGUGACGUUCUCUUACCAUCUCUCCUGUUGUGUUGGAUCUUGAGAUACACCCGCAAGUGUGCACGUGAGUGUGUGUCUCUCUCUCUCAAUCUCUGCCCACGACUCUCUCGCCGUGUGUACCGGAGUUUUGUUGAGCUUUCCUUUUUUGCGUCUGCGUGUUUCUGUGCGUUCGCCGUAGGUGUGAAUUGUUUUUAUUUGCUGUGCGUUUUUUUUUUACUUUGACUUGUUCGACUGUGUUCUUCUGUGGUUGUUCGCUUCCCCCUUCUCCACCGCCGCCCGUGACACCUCCCUUCCUUCCACGUCUGUAUUGGAUUGCGUCCCCUUCCUCUUCUUUGUGCGUUCUGCGCUACAUCUCUCCUCUUCUCUCUCUCCUGACCGCCGCCUUGUUCUCCCUCUCUGUCUGUAUUGCGAUUUCGCAUUCGCGUGGCGUCGACACUUUCCUCCUCUCAUUCGUGUGUGUUGCCGACUUUUCGUUUGUGUGUGUGCGUGCGAUUGUGCGUCCUGUCUUUCCCCUAUCUCAUCUCACUUAUUCCUUUCGCCUUUCCUCUCCCUCUCGCACACUUACACCCACACUAGCGCCCCCCUCCUCCUUCCCACCCUCUAACCCUCCCCCUCCCCUCCCCUCCUAUCCCACUGAUAGACUGAGGUUUCAGCCGUCAACAAGUCUUUUCCCUCUUUCACCUCCCUCCCUCCACACCCCUUGUACAACAACGUACAUUUACGGACACUUAUACCCACACUAGCGCCCUCCCCCCAUUUCCCCUCCCUCCCCAUCCUCUCCCGUUUUUCCCCUCUCCCCUUCUGUGCCAGCCAACGAGGUGCGUGUCUGUGUGAUCAACCUCCUCCUCGCCUGCGCCUUUCCUCCUUCUCAAAGGACAUCUCCUUCUUAAGUGCUCCUUUUCGUUGCCUUUGUUGUUGAUGAUAAGCAGUACGAAGUAGAUUUGUGCUCGCCUUCCUUGCCUUCCCCCUCACCCUUGCUCCCUCCCUCGUGUGGCUCUGAUCUGCGCUGGUACCUGUCCUCUCCGCCUUCCUCUUUCCGCUCGCGCCUCUCAUAGCCUCGUCGCUAUCCUUCCUCUGGCACGUGCAUCUCAUGUACGGCCAGCAGUUCGUGCCCGGUCAAAUGUACGGCCAACCCAACAUGAUGCCCUACCAGCCUGGCGUGCUGUCUCCUCCCAUGUCCACUGGGGUGUCCGUGAUGCCCAACUACGCGCCUCCUUACCAGAACGGGAUGCCGCCGGGCUCGGUGCAGCAGCAACAAGGCCAGGGUCCAGCCCAAGGUCAAGCCAUGCCGCAGACGCAGCCACGGCCGCGGAACAACGAGGUUGGCAAUACCAGCUCCGUCAUUCACAUGCGCAACGUCACCCCCGAGGUGACACAGCUUAGCAUUCAGAAUCUGGCCCAGAACUUUGGCGACAUCAAGCACAUCGUGAUGCUGCGCCAGAUGAACCAGGCUCUCAUCGAGAUGAAGAGCCCCAAGAGCGCUGAGCAGCUGGUGGACUUCUUUAAGGAGCCCGGCUACGCGGAAAUCGAUGGCCGCCGCGUGUACAUUCGUUUUAGCACCCACCAGAACCUUACGGCCACGCAGCACGCCACUCGCACCCUGUUGGUAUCGAUGUUCAACACGCAGUACGACGUGUCUGCCGCAGCGCACAUUACGCCAGAGAUCGUGUACCAGAUAUUUGCUAGCUACGGCACCGUGGAGCGCAUCGUGGUGCUGCCCAAAAACGAGAGCAGUCAGUGGAACCACAACCGUGUUCAGGCGCUCGUCCAGUUCGACGCUCGCGAGUCCGCCGAACACGUGAAGAAUAUUUUGCAGGGCCAGCCUGUCACCCUCGGCGAGACCAUCACUUUCACCCUCGACAUUCAGUUCUCGCGCAUGGACGAGAUCAAGACGACGAACCCAACGACGUCGCUUGUCGUCGACGAUGAAGGUGCCCACCGCCCCGCUGGUACGAUGGACCCCAUGGCGAUGAACGCAGCGGCGAUGACGACCACGGGCAUGUAUCCGCCGAUGGGGUGGAGCUAAGCGCUCCGGCGUGCAUUCCGUGGCCUACGGCAGCGACAUAAUCAUCAUGGAUACGAGGUGCACAUAGGGAGAGUGCUGAAAGGGGUGCGCAUGGUUGCGCGAGUGUGUAGACAUCGUGGAGGUCGGGGCCUUUUUCCUCUGUUUUCGGGUGUUCGAGUGGGCGAAGGAGAGUGCGUCUGUAGAUAUGUUUGUGUGCCUGCGCGUGUGAUGCGUGCCUGCGUGUCUCUCAAGCGGCGAACGGACGCGCUCGGCGUCAACACACGGAGGCGAAAAGAACACCAACCUCCCGCUCGCCACCAUUUUCUUCUUCUGUCGUAGAAAACACCAUUACGAGUCUACUCGCGUCUCUCCUCCUGUUUUGUUUCGUUUUGUUGUGCCUGCACGCCUUACGACGUGCUCUAUUUUCUCGCCUCGCCUCUCUCUGUGUGUGCGCUUUCGCUCUCGCACUUGCAGUGUUCCCGUGAGGUGAUUGAUUUUUAUUUAGGUGAAGCGAGACUGGCGCGCAUUGCACGUGUGUGUGUGCGCGCUUUCCCACAUAACCGCUUUCGAGCAUCUCCCUACAGUUUGAAACGAUCGGAUCGGGCGUCCUUCUCUCUCCAUGGACUGCGGAUGCAAGGCGCACAAACACCUCCCCGCCUCUCGUGCCAAUUAGCUUCGUCAGUCAGCCCUCAGGUUGCUGCCAUGUGCUCCCCACCUUUGCACCCUUCAUCGUUUCCAUCCGCAUCUGGCAGCCAUACCUUGCCCACCCUUCACCGUUCGCCUCCGCCCGAUGUGUGGAUGAUGGCGUCUCUCUUUUUGUGCCCGUCGCACAUCGUUUUUCUUCUUUUUUCUUCCCGUUGUGUGUGUGCGUGUGUGUUACGGUAUCUUGAUCCGUGUAUAUGGUUGUGUGCUUGUGGGUGUAAGCGUCUUGAUGUUCUUUGUUUGUUUUUUCCUCUCCUCGUUUUCUCCUCCUCACCUCCAUCCGUGCUGCCCUUCACUCCGCCCCUCCCUCUCCUCAUGCCUGCUUUCGUUUCUGGUGUGGUCAUCGCCUUGGAUAAUGCUGGACGCGCACACAUACACGCACAUAUACAACUGCCUCCGUCUUUCUUUCCCUCUCUCUGCAGCUCUGUACCGAUUCUCCUCUGCCCCCAUCCCUCCAUCGUUUUUGCUUGUCUUGGCAGACGUGUAAGGUCGAAGGUGUUGUUCUCCUCUACCCCCAUCCCCGCUCAGCACAGGCGAAAUCACACACACAAACAUAUAUAUAUAUAUAUAUACAGAGAUGUAAACUCAGAUCGGAGUCUACAGCCAUGUGUGCCUAUGCGCUCACGUAAACAGCAAGUGGAUGGGGAGGAGGAUUGCGGCGGUAAGGACAGCUCUCGUUCUUUUCGUCUUCGUCUGUAUAUGCAGAUGUGUUCGUGUAUGCAUAUCUGCGCGUGUGCUGUUGUUGUUGGUCUUGUCUUCUCUCGGCCUUUGUUAAAAUACGAAAAAGAAAAACAAUGCAUGCGCUCUCGGCUGUCGAUUCCCCCCCCCCUCCUCCACCUCCUCCCCUCUUUUCCGUACACCGCCUCCCUCUUCCCACUCGCGUCCCUUCCCUCUGUGCGUGUGUGUGCAUAGCGUCUGACGAUGCUUCGUUUCUUGUCCUCGUUUUGUCCGUUGGUGUACCUCUUGGUGCUUGCCUUGUUUGCCCCAGCACCGCACCUCCUCCUCUGGUCUCCUCGUCUGCCCCCAUCCCUCCCCCCUCUACGUGUGCGUGUGCUCGGUUGCGCCCUCGGUGGCUCCCUGCCUCUCUGCUGGUCUAUAUUGUUACACCCACGCCCUUUUUUCCCCUCUUCGUCAGUAUGUUUUGUUUCUUUGUUUCCCUGGCAGGGCAAGGUCUCCCCCGGUACACCCCCUCCCUCCUUCCUCUGUCCUCGACCCUCUCCCGGCCUCCCUCGUCCCAGAAGUCCUCCUCCCGCCCCUCUGCCCCUUACUCGGCAUGCAGAGGCGAUCAUUUCUUUUUUCUUCCGUGUUUGCAUGGCCUUUUUCCUCUCUUCCGCUCCCUCGGUCACACACGCAAACGUGAAAGAAGAAACAAUCAACUGGAACGCACGGUCAUGUUGACAGGAAACGGGAGGCCAUUUAGGUGACUUCGACUGUAGUGGUGCUCGGAAUCACGGGGGUUGCAAGGAGGAUAUCAGCAAGAUCAGAGGUGGCGGGCGCAUGUACAAGCGCACGCACGUGCGGCCGAAGGGGCCUUCAAGAGAUGCAACAGGGAUGUAGACGCGUUCACAUCACGAGAGAGGAAGCUCAUGUACGAGGGAGAAUGGAGGGUCCUGUGGCGUAUGGCUCCACUGCCGUGCCCUGUGAUGUUUAUGGUUGGUAGGUGCGCCGCCCAGACCUGCUUCUCUUGUCGUUUUCUCUGCCGCUGUUCACGCACCGUUCGCCUUUGCGCGUUCGUCUCAUCGCAUCUACCGUUGAGAAGGUGUGGGUAACCUCUCCCUCUCCUUUCUCUUCUCUCCUCCCCCACGCCUCCAUCACGUCAGCACCCCCUCCUGCCCUCCUUCCCGGAGCUGUGCCCUCUUGCUCUCGCUGUUUUGCACUCUUCGGUUUUACUGCCACGAAACGUCGCCCCCCCCCCCCCCACACACACACAGAGCAGAAAGAAGAAAAAAGUACACACGCACUCACGCAGAGGGAGAGGGAGAGAGGAACAGCGGAAACAUGAUCGACGUCAACAACAACCAAAUUAGAACUCAGCGCAUGUUCCGCCUCUCGAUAAAAUCCCUAUUCCCGUGUACGUGUGCGUGCGCAUUCGUGUCGUUGUCGUGGUAUCCUUGCCUGGUAUCCCUUGUUCCUCUUUCAUCCCCUCACCGUGUUGAAGUACACUCUUCUUUAUUUUGUGUGUGUGUGUGUGUGUGCUGCGCUCUCUUUCUCUCCGUCUCUCUUUACCUUCGUCUCUCUUGUUUUCCGUUUUUUGUUGUUGUGUGGUGUUUCCUCUCUCCUUUCUCUCUAUUAACUGUCCCUCCCUCUCUCUCUAUCCCUGUGGGGGUUUCCUUAGCCGCCCUCUCCCCUUCCUCCCCUCCCCUCCCCUUCCCCCAAGCACUUCGUACAGAUAAGCCGCGCACAGACACACACGCACACAGGGAGAGAGAGAGAUAACCACACAGAAUACAGAGAGCGUGCUCUUCCCUUUUCCUAUAACCUCCCUCCACCUCACGUUUGUUUUUCUCGUUUUGCCUCUUUCAGUGAUUCCACCCUCGCGAAUGGGCAUCGCUAACGCUUGCGACGAAGCGAGGCGCAGGGAUACACGAAGUAUAUUGUCAUCUAUGGAGAUAGGAAGAGGCGGGACGGAGAGAAAGCAACGCAAGAGGGCAUCGCAUGAUGUAGACCACAAUCAAGUAAGGAGAGUGAAACGAACUGUGUUGCUGCUGCUGCUGCGAGGAGGCAAGCGGAAGAAAAAGAGAAGGAUAGGGAGCAUCUCAAUGUAUCUGUCUCUGUCUCCUCUCUUACCUCUCCUCCUCGCGCGGUCGUGCCUGCGUCUCUCGUCCCCCUCCCUUCUUCUUUCACCGAACCACUCUCGAAGGGCCCGCUAACGAUGGUACUCGGCAUCCCCUCCUCCCCUGGCACCACCCACACACACGCAAAAUGCGCAACCAUCUUUUUGUUUUGGUUUUCUGGGCCUCUUUCUCCACGACCCCCUCCUUACUUGCUGUCUGCCCCCUCCCCUCCCCCACCAAAUUCCCUCUGCCCUCUCUCGUUCUCGGUUGCUCGUGUCUUCUUGCCUUCAUCUUGUGCUCUUCCCACCAUAGCGACGAUGCCUCAUGAUGACGUCUUGUCCUCCACCGCUACAGCUCCGAACCGCGUGCGCUUGUUUGCAUUGUCGCCUCUUUCUUCGCUGUGCCGGUGAUUGCGUCCCUGGCGCGUCUCUGGUGCGUGCGCGUCGGUUUCUCUCUUCUUCGGUUGUGCGUCUGUUUGUUUUUGUUUUCGCCUGCGUGUUCACGUGUCGGUGGAACACACGAGGCACAACAUGGACGCAUAAUUCCUCCCCUCCCCCCUCCCGCCCUCCCUCCUCCUCCACCCAACUGAUAUAUACAUAUAGAUAGGAAGGGACAGGAGGAGCUGGGCCGACUUGGAGGCACUUCGGGGGCUUGCGAGGCUCUUUAUGCUUAUGAGGAUAGUAGAGCGCCACAGAAGACUUAUUCUACGUUCAACUGUGCGUGUGUGUGUGUGUAUGCGUGUAUAUGCAAGUGAUGUGUGUGGGCCCACCAGCUCUCUUUUCGGGCCGCGAAGCGGCAGCACCGGUUACGAUGGUCCGUUCAACUAGGCGGAGACAAGUGGAGAUAGUGGAUAGAACAGAACUGUGAGACCAGGGAGCGCGUUAGCUGAAGCGAACAUCUCUUGAGUCUCCCCUCCUUUCUUUUUCUGUUCUGCCGUUCUUCAGUGCCCGUCCGGUUCCCGUUGGGAGGCGGCGACUGAGGAAACAGUGUGCAGGGAGAAGGACCGCUUCUGCCGUCUGUACCGGUGUGCGUGUGUACGGAUGUGCUUUCACGUGUCUGAUGUUGUGCGGAUCUCUCCUGCUGCGCCUGCUGCCCUGGUGUCUCAUCCCUUCUUGCUCUCUCCUUGUUCUUUUGUUUUUUUCGGGGGCGCUCAGCUAACGUUCUUGACUGUGCGUAUGCUGGCAGCGAGAGACACGGAAACGAGGAACAAGCUGAAACGCGAUGUAUGGGCUGCUCGAGCAUACUCCUCUCUCUCUCCUGUCUACCUUGUCUGCGCUCAUGCGCACAUGUGUGCAUCUACAUGUGUUUCUCUCUGUUAUCCGUGUCUGUGCACCCGACCCCUCCUCCCCUUCCCGCCUUCUUCUUUUUCCCUUUCGCGUGCGUGCGUGCGUGCGUGCAUGUUCGUGUAUCUUCUCCCGCUCUGUUUGUGAUCUACUUUGCUGUAUAUUCCCGUGCCUGUCCGCGACAUGCCCUCUCUGCACCGCCCCCCCCUCCUCUCUCUCCUUCCUCAUCCUUCCCUCCUGUAUCAGCUGGCGUUUUCCUCCGUGGCUCUUGCUUGCCCUGUGUGGAUGAGUAGGAGAGAGGACGAGGAGGGCGGCUGCACCCUCCUGACACGCAGAAGGAAGGCGAACCAACGAGGGUGCACAGACGCCGCGGUGCGAGCGGCAAAGAAGGCGGUGCGAAACAUUGAUGGAGCGAGCCGCGCAUCAAAAACAGCGUCGAAAGAAUCAAUGAGAACUUGAACGGAUAUUUUUUUCCCGUCUGGCUGUGUGUGCCACGCUUUCGAGUUGGUGACGAUGCUCAGCAGAAAGCCGUGAACGCUCCUCUUUUUCAAGGACCAGAAGACCAGGAGCAACACAAAACGAAGAUGGAAUGAUGCCGAGGAUUCAAUGCGGCAUCGUGGCAAAAGGCGUACUCCUCAUCCCUCUCCUCUAUUCUGUUCCUCGGCACCGCGAUGGCCAUGUCUCGCUGCUCUCUCUUUUUCAUGGCGUGUGUUAGUCGGCGCAUAUGUGUCUGCGUGAGGGAGUGUAUAGGCGUAUGCGUAUAUCGCAGGGUGCGUGCAGACGUGGGCGGCUCCUGCCUUUUCAGCUGCACGUGUGCGGAAGAGGGAAAGCUGGAGCGAAGAAUACACAGACACGCGCAAAGGAAUGAGAGCGGGGGAUGGAAGGGCAGCGAACGUGCUACCUGGGUGCGCUGCGGCCCUCCUUCCUCCCCACACGCCCGCGUUUCCUUGCCAAGGAAGGGUGAGGGUGAGAGCGGUUGGCACCGACACCCGCGCACGCACACUCAAACGCGCGCGCAGCAGCCGCGUUUGUGGAUGGGCCUUCUACCUCUUCCUCUGAUGCAAGUGAGACGAACCGAUACGCGCUUCUGAGUAGACUCAUUUUGUGUUCUUUGUUUUUUUUCCCCUUGCCGUGAUGGUCUCUCCCUCUCGUCUCUGGUGCGCUCGUAAACGCCAGCACUGCAUCGCCCGUCCGCUCCCGGGUGACUCCCCCAUCCCCUGUCGAUUCUCUUCCCCUAUCGAUUCUUGCUCCGGAGACUUCACCGAUAGCACACAUGCAACGAAACGAGCCCCCCUGCCGAAUGUGCAUGUAUGCGUGUUCCUUGUGUGUGUGUGUGUGUGUGUCUGCCCCCUCCUCCCUCCCCGCCACCCAUGCUGUCCCCUCCGUUAUCAUCGCCGCCGCUCCCCACCCCUUUUCCCACCUUCCUAUGCUUCGCACGUGCGCGUUUGGGCUUCCUUUUAUUAUUAUUAUGUGCGUUUUUUUUUAUGUGUCUGUGUGUGCGAGCCAAGGUGCUCUCGCCGUGCGCCGCUGUUCGAGUAGGCCGUCGGCAUUUCGUUGUUUUACUUUGUUGUUGUAUGUUGGCUGUUCUCGUUGUUGUCUGUUUCGCCGUCUGGUGGCCACUAUCCCCGGCUUGAGAGGGCAAGAGGGUAAAGGAGCGAGGGUGCUGUAGGGGCGCUGUGUGAGGACCACAACAGUUAUGUCGAGGAUGGCACUUCAUAGCCUCUGUCUUAUCGCUCUUUCCCUCUCUCUAUGUAUAUGCGUAUGUCUCUCGUACCCGCGUGUGUGUGCGAUCUCUCCCCUGACGGCUUGUCUUUGUUUGGCUUGCAUGUGUCUGCGUCUGCCCUUGCGCAUCUCCCUCUAUCCCCUCUUCCUCAGCGCUGUGGUUGUUGCUCUUGCAACCCUUGUUGCUGUGCGUACGCUGUAUGUGCGUGUAGGUGUAUGCCGCUUUCGCUCUCUCUCACACAUACGCACGCUUUCCAUUGUUGUUGUCUCCUUAUUAUAGUGGAGAAGGAGGGCGGGGGGAUGUUGUCGCAUAUACGCGUGUGUCUCUGUCGCUGCCUGACGAACUGCUGUUGGUUGUAACGGUUGCCUGCGAGUAUGCUGUGCUAUGGUGGGCGUCAUUCCUUGUAUCUCUGGCUCCCUCUAACAUUUUCGUGCCUCACGUUGUGUGAUGCCGAACUCGUCGCCGUUUUCGACGUUGCUUGUUUCCUUUUGUUCUUUGGCUUGUGCUCCGAGCUUUCUUCUUCCUCUUUUCGACGCAUGUGUGUCUGCCUGUGUGUGUGUGCGUGUGCCUCCGUGCUUCGAUAGAGUCGCUGUUGGCUUUGGCCGACUCGCACCUUCGCUUCCUCCUCUCCCUCUCCCGCCGCCUCGCGCGUUUUGGCGCGUUCGGCUCCGGGCGUCCGUUGGUCGUGCGCCCUCCGUUGUUUGAUGACGGCGUCUGUACUCGUUAUUCGUGUCUCUCCCCCAUUUUGAAGUUUCCGUCUUCGCGCCCCCCCCCCACCCACCCAUCCAUCCUCCCUCUCACUUUCAUGUUUGACCACGAGAACGAUGUCACCCCCACGCCGUAUACAGCGUCGUGUGCCAUGCGCGGGCGCGCGUGCAGCAAGGGCAGCAGAGAGAACGAGAGCUUCCCCGAGCAGUUCUUGUUGCCGAGCGCACUGUGUCGGCGUGUCACGUUCUCCCGCCGGCUCUCUCACGCUCUGCCCUACUUGUCCCCCCCCUCACUCCCUCAGUCUGAACGGCUACCGUGCUGCCUCUACAACGUUCCCCACAGCACAACGAUGUCACUGACUACAAGCCUCUUCGCCUGUAGUCUCAUUCUCUUCGUUGUGUGUGUGUGUGUGUGUGUGAGUGUGUAUGGGGGGGGGAGGACUGUCCAUCUCUCGCCGUGGUGACGGGGGGUCCAGCUCAGCGUGGUAUCACAUUGCCCAGUGUCCGCUCGGCGAGGAAGCCAAGAGGGUCCCCCGGCCUCUGCCGAUGCCAAGCCACCCCUCUGGUGGUGACAGGGCUGGGCCCCUACCGCCUAGGCAGGCCCAGAGCGGUGUAUCGCUCCUCAUGUCGGCGCUCAAGCGCUGGACGGCUCUGCGUCGGAGCGGGCUGCCACGGUGGGCGCGUUUGCACAAUUUAUACAAGAGGCACAGCGCCGGCGUGGCUCGAGCGCGUCCCACUCGGCCCUCGCAGCCUACUGGUGGGGAGGGGAGGGAGGGGGGCUGCGAGACGACCUGCGAGACGAGGGAGGGGGGGGAGCUCGAGGCAGAGGCCGUGCGCCGACUCAGCCAUCGGCGCACGGCUGCACCACGUGUGCAAAGUUGCUUGCCACCACGCGGUGGGUCGGCGUGCGGGAUUCGCGUGCCUGCGGGCAACCGUGUGGGUGUGCGCCUCUGAGCUUUUUGUGUGAGCGAGAGGGAGACACGGAGAGUGGCAGCCGCUGAGCGAGCGAGCGAGCAGGUGAGAGUGCGGGAGCGAGAGCAGACGCCUUGAAAUGGCGAGACGACGACGACAAGCGCACCUCCUUGUUUCUUUCGUUUACGUUUUGUUCGCUUUCGCCACAGCCAGCACGCACGCACAGAGACAGACAAAUUUCAGCAUGCGCGCGGGCACGGGCCCCCUCUCCGUUAUGGCAUCGCGUGCCAGUGGUGGCACAUGUGCGUGCUCUGUGUCCUGACGUUGCCUCCACGACGACACGGGCAUAUGGGACAGGAAAG
rnacentral:misc_RNA from 1 species